rnacentral:rRNA from 1 species
GACGAACGCUGGCGGCGUGCUUAACACAUGCAAGUCGAGCGGUAAGGCCCUUUCGGGGGUACACGAGCGGCGAACGGGUGAGUAACACGUGGGUGACCUGCCCUCAGCUCUGGGAUAAGCCUGGGAAACCGGGUCUAAUACCGGAUAUGACUCCAUGACGCAUGUUGUGGGGUGGAAAGCCUUGUGCGGCUGAGGAUGGGCCCGCGGCCUAUCAGCUUGUUGGUGGGGUGANGGCCUACCAAGGCGACGACGGGUAGCCGGCCUGAGAGGCGACCGGCCACACUGGGACUGAGACACGGCCCAGACUCCUACGGGAGGCAGCAGUGGGGAAUUUUGGGCAAUGGGCGAAAGCCUGACCCAGCAACGCCGCGUGAAGGAUGAAAUCCCUCGGGAUG